UGAGUGGUGAAAGGUCUCUUAAUGCAAAACAAAUAAACAUGAAUUUCCUAUUUUUUUAGGCUAUUUUAAGAUUAAAUUUAGAUAAUUCAAAAUUUUUAUACGAUAUAUAAAUAUUAAUUAGCUUAUAAUUAUUAAUUUUUUUAUUUUAGGCAUUUUUUUUCUCUCAUUUCUCCGACCAUCGGAUCUCAAAUCACCGCUCAUGUCAUGGCUCUCGACGCCCACCAUUGCCCUGGAGGGGUCAUGUUUUUGUUUCGCGGGGAGUUUGGAUGCUUGAUGUAUACGGGGGAUUUUCAAUGGGAAGUUGAUAACGAGAGGGCAAAGGAUGCGAGGAGUAGGCUACUUAAUGUUCUCAAGAAUGAGACGACUGAUGUUCUUUACUUGGAUAAUACGUAUUGUAAUCCGUCUUUUGAUUUUCCCACUCGAGAAGUUGCUGCUCAGUAGGAGAAAUGCCAUCAAUGAAGCCGAGGAGUAUGACAGAAAAUUGUGUAAUUAACAACGUUCAGAACAGACUAAGGAGGAGGUGAGCGUUUAGGUUUUUGAAAAUCACUUUUCCAUACUCCCCUCUUCUUAGCAUUUACUUUUGAGCAUGUGCUGGUGCUUGCAUACACUUUCCAAGCAUGCAUAUAGUAAUAAGUAGAGUUAGGAUAUUUAGGUGAUGAAUAAUUUCUCGAGUGAAUUUAGAAUCUUCUAUUAUCUGUAUUUUUUUCAUGUCCUAUUCAAGCAUCUUGUAUCUGUUGUUCAAAAGAAAACAACCAUCAUGGAUAUUAGGUUUGGUGUUUCAGUAUAAUUUUUGCAUCUGUGGAUAAACAUUUCAGAUCCGUUUUCUACAAGCAUAAUGCUAUGCAUCUAGAGGAAAGAAGAAAAAGAAGGCGAGAUAUCAAGAUCAUAAGUGGCUUGUUUUUCAAUGUUAGUUAUACCACUUUUAUAAGUGGCUUGUUUCAGGCAGGGAGAGUUUUGGAAGCAAAAGAGCUUUUCAAGGAUAUACGUGCCCAAAGCCAUUUCCCAGAUUUAAUGACCUACUCAACUUUGCUUGAUGGCUUAAGAAAACAAGGGUAUCUUGAUCAAGCGUUGGGACUAUUUCAUGACAUGCAAAAAAGUUACUUGAAGUCUCAUGAUUUGGUGAUCUAUGAUAUCAUAAUCAUUGCCAUGUGCAGAUCUAGGAAGCUUAAAGAUGCAUCGGAGUUGUUUUCGGAACUCAGUCAAAGGGUUGCAGCCUGAUGCUCGGGUUUUGACUUUAGUAAUGAAUGGACUUUGUAGAGAGGGAUUGCUAGAUGAAGCAUACAAAGCUUUCAGACUAAUGAAAGAGGAUGGCCGCCCACCAGAUAAUUGUUCUUAUAAUGUUUUUAUCCGAGGAUUUCUCCAGCACAAGGAUCUAAGGGCAGGGCAACUUAUCAAUGAGAUGAAAUGCCGAGGAUUCUCAGCAGAUGUGCAAACAACAAAGUUGGUGGUAGAUGAUGAUCAAGCCACCAAUCACUUGCUUUUCUUUUGCGUGGUUGUUAGUUACGUGUUUGGGGACUAGCAUUUGAUUCUUGUGGAUUAUAAAUCGAUACAUGCGGAUUUAUGAGUCUGUCAACAUGUGUUAUGAUAGAUUUAAUUGAUGAAAGCUAUUCUAGUUUUCUCUUCAUCAUCCGAAUCAAGACGCCGCUUCUUCAACCAAAUAAGAAUAUUGGUAGAUUAUUUGUGAAUCAUUUCUUCAUUCCAUGGUUAUUUUUCAUGGUGCAUUUCUGCAUGGAAUGCUACCCCUUCAUCUUUUUUCUUCUUGGUUUUUGGAUCUUUUGUUCUGUUCAUUUGGAAGUAAAGAUGAUGUAGUUGUUUGAAAGAAAUGUUAAUAUAAUUGCUUGUUAUAUAUAUUUAUACUAAA